CCUACGGGUGGCUGCAGUCGAGAAUCAUUCACAAUGGGGGAAACCCUGAUGGUGCGACGCCGCGUGGGGGAAUGAAGGUCUUCGGAUUGUAAACCUCUGUCAUGUGGGAGCAAAUUAAAAAGAUAGUACCACAAGAGGAAGAGACGGCUAACUCUGUGCCAGCAGCCGCGGUAAUACAGAGGUCUCAAGCGUUGUUCGGAAUCCCUGGGCGUAAGGCGUGCGUAGGCUGUUUCGUAAGUCGUGUGUGAAAGGCGCGGGCUCAACCCGCGGACGGCACAUGAUACUGCGAGACUAGAGUAAUGGAGGGGGAACCGGAAGUCUCGGUGUAGCAGUGAAAUGCGUAGAUAUCGAGAGGAACACUCGUGGCGAAGGCGGGUUCCUGGACAUUAACUGACGCUGAGGCACGAAGGCCAGGGGAGCGAAAGGGAUUAGAUACCCUUGUAGUC
rnacentral:rRNA from 1 species